UCCCUGGUGGUUCAGUGGCUAAGACUCUACGCUCCCAAGGUAGGGAGACUGGGUUCAAACCCUGGUCGAGGAA
rnacentral:tRNA from 1 species